AACGAACGCUGGCGGCGUGCUUAACACAUGCAAGUCGAACGCGAAAGGGACUUCGGUCCUGAGUAAAGUGGCGCACGGGUGAGUAACGCGUAGAUAACCUGUCUUCAUGUCUGGAAUGAUACGCCGAAAGGGGUACUAAUACCGGAUAUUCUUGCUUUUCAUAAGUUAUGCAAGCAAAGGUGGCCUCUGCAUAUGCUACUGCAUGAAGAGGGGUCUGCGUACCAUUAGCUAGUAGGUGGGGUAAUGGCCUACCUAGGCGACGAUGGUUAGCGGGUCUGAGAGGAUGAUCCGCCACACUGGCACUGGAACACGGGCCAGACUCCUACGGGAGGCAGCAGUGAGGAAUAUUGCGCAAUGGGGGAAACCCUGACGCAGCGACGCCGCGUGAGUGAGGAAAGGCCUUCGGGUCGUAAAGCUCUGUCAAGAGGAAAGAAGUGUACAAUGGCUAAUACCUGUUGUAUUUGACGGUACCUCUAAAGGAAGCACCGGCUAACUCCGUGCCAGCAGCAGC
rnacentral:rRNA from 1 species